GGGUAACCUGCCCUAUGCUGGGGAAUAACCUCGGGAAACUGAGAAUAAUGCCCCAUAGCCCACUACGCCUGGAACGGUGAGUGGGUCAAAGCUUCGGCGGCAUAGGAUGGGCCUGCGCCGUAUCAGGUUGUAGGGGGUGUAAAGUACCCUCUAGCCAUCAACGCGUACGGGUGUUGGGAGACAUUGCCCGGAGAUGGAUUCUGAGACACGAAUCCAGACCCUACGGGGUGCAGCAGGCGCGAAAACUUGGCAAUGCGAGCAAUCGUGACCAGGGAACUCCAAGUGCUUAGGGUAAGACCUAAGCUUUUCUUGACUCUUCAAAGGUCUUGGAAUAAGGGGUGGGUAAGGACGGUGCCAGCCGCCGCGGUAAUACCGGCGCCUCAAGUGGUAGUCGCUUUUAUUGGGCCUAAAACGUCCGUAGCCGGUCUGGUGCAUUCGUGGGUAAAUCAACCCGCUCAACGGGUUGAAUUCUGCGAGCACGGCCAGACUUGGGACCGGGAGAGGUGUGGGGUACUCUCAGGGUAGGGGUAAAAUCCUGUCAUCCUGAGAGGACCACCUGUUGCGAAGGCGCCACACUAGAACGGAUCCGACGGUCAGGGACGAAACCUAGGGGCACGAACCGGAUUAGAUACCCGGGUAGUCCUAGGUGUAAACGCUGUGGACUUGAUGUUGGGGGCGCUCCGAGCGCUUUCAGUGUCGAAGCGAAGGUGAUAAGUCCACUGCCUGGGGAGUACGGUCGCAAGGCUGAAACUU
rnacentral:rRNA from 1 species